CCUACGGGUGGCUGCAGUGAGGAAUAUUGGUCAAUGGGCGCGAGCCUGAACCAGCCAAGUCGCGUGAGGGAGGACGGCCCUACGGGUUGUAAACCUCUUUUGCCGGGGAGCAACGGGCGUCACGUGUGGCGCCACUGAGAGUACCCGGAGAAAAAGCAUCGGCUAACUCCGUGCCAGCAGCCGCGGUAAUACGGAGGUGGCAAGCGUUAUCCGGAAUGACUGGGCGUAAAGGGUGCGUAGGUGGUUUAGUAAGUUGGCGGUGUAAUUCCGGGGCUCAACCUCGGCGCUACCGCCAAAAAUAUUAGACUAGAGUGCAGGAGGGGUAAGUGGAAUUCCUAGUGUAGCGGUGGAAUGCGUAGAUAUUAGGAGGAACAUCAGGGGCGAAGGCGACUUACUGGACUGUAACUGACACUGAGGCACGAAAGCGUGGGGAGCAAACAGGAUUAGAUACCCGGGUAGUC
rnacentral:rRNA from 1 species